CGUUUCAAACAAACUCACUUC
rnacentral:piRNA from 1 species